ensembl:lncRNA LINC00879 long intergenic non-protein coding RNA 879
GUGUCCGCCAUCUUGGGGCGACGGCCAGAAGUCCAGGGCUAGGAGCCUCAGCCGGCGGACGCCAGGAAACAGAACUGAACCAAAAUACAAACAACAUAAACUACCACUUGAUGAGAAGAACUUCAAAGUCAAAUUGCAAAAGGUGACUAAAAAAGGGGAGUACUUUCAGCCGUUUUCAAAAUAAUCUAUGAUAUGUACUGGAAAACUUCUAAUAAUCCUUGUCAUUUUACAAGAAAGUAUUUUAUCAGAAGAAUUCGUAGAAGUAGAAUCUGUUUGUCUUCAGUUAAACAAAAGAAGAACCUCAUUGCUUUCCAACUGGGCCCCGGCCAUUUUCCAGUUGAAACAUCAAAUAUUUUAUUUGUGUCUUUCACUGCCAAUUAAAGGGCAACAGAAAUGGUACAGGCUCCCUCUGCAGUGGAAUUACCCUUAUGUCUUUUCUGUCUAUGCUGAUCCACCUGAUCUUGAACUGGUGCUAUUCCAUGGGGAAAAUUGGAACAUGGGGCAAUUAACACUUUCUCCACUUUAUCCCAUCAACAGGAAAUUGAAAUAUAACCAACUAACUCAGGAGACAUCAUGGAAGAUGUCACACAGUGAAUGAUGAUGAAGCAGAAUUUUUAAAAUGUGUAGGAUUACGAGAAGUGGGGUCAUUUUUCUUUGUGUAUGGUAUUGCUGAUGCAGUUUAAUGCUCCAUUACUUCUAAAUUUUCAUCAUAAGCUAGAUUUUCCAGUUGUGGUUUCUAUAAAGAAAAACAAACAUUCUGAAGACAGUUUUUCCAGAUUUAUUCCAGAUAUCGAUGAUUAACUUUUGAAGGAAAUAGUCACAGCCACCCCAGCCUUAAGUAACCACCACCCUGCUCACUCAACAACAAUGAACACUGAGGCAAGACUCUCCACUAGCAAAAAGAUUAUGACUUGUUGAAGACUCAGAUAAUUAAAUAUCUGAAUGAAAUGCUCAUGAAAGGAUUAAGAAAGUCUGCAGUUGAGCCUGGAGCCAGCAAAAGACAUCAUCACUAAAAGUAUAUGCAUGACCCGCAUUUGUUGCCUUUAUGGUCCUUACCCAAGAUAUUUGAAUUCACCAGAAUGGUCUUAAUAUGGUAUUGUAAGUACCUGGAUCUGAAAACCAUUAAGUAUGAGAGUGCGCUGUAUUGGUGAUGCCAGUUUGUGGACUCCUUAUGUAAAUAAAUGAAGGACAAGUUAAAAA